rnacentral:rRNA from 1 species
GACAGAGGGGGCAAGCGUUGCUCGGAAUCACUGGGCGUAAAGGGCGCGUAGGCGGGAUGGCAAGUCAGUCGUGAAAUCUCUCGGCUCAACCGAGAAACGUCGGCUGAUACUGCCGUUCUUGAGGGAUGCAGAGGAGACUGGAAUUCCCGGUGUAGCGGUGAAAUGCGUAGAUAUCUGGAGGAACACCGGUGGCGAAGGCGGCAUCCUGGACCAAUAUUGACGCUGAGGAGCGAAAGCUAGGGGAGCAAACGGG